CCCACCUCCAACACUGGGGAUUACAAUUCAACAUGAUAUUUGGGCAGGGACAUAUAUUCAAAUCAUAUGAGGGUCCAGCUCCAUUUUUUGCAUGCAGCUAUCCAGCUGUCCCAGCACCAUUUGUUGAAAAGACAAUUCUUUUCCCAUUGAAUGGUCUUGGCACACUUGUCAACUAUAAGUUGACCAUAGAUGUAUCUUCUAAGAUAUAUAAAUGUAAGGUUUUUUAAAGUGCUCAUGUAAAUCAAUAGGACUAAUUGACACAUAUUGCCUACAUUGAAUAAAAAAUAAUAAUGACAUUUCUUUCUGCCCUAUAUUUUUACUUUCUGCUUCCUUUACCAUAAUCCUUGUCUGAACUGCUUGUAGCAUUUAGAGCAUGCUUCUUUUCUUUUGUGUAAUAUCAGUACUGAGCAGUGAAACAUAAAAUUCACUUUGACUUGCAGCUCCGCUCUUAGCAAGCCCACACUGUGCUGAAUCUGGAUAUCAGUCCAAUGUGAUGACAUAAAGCUAAAUAUUUUCUCACAAAAGCAUGUGAACAUGGAACGCUUAGGAUUUUACUUCCUGCCAACAGCAGAAAUUUUGGACUUGUAGGAAUUAGUUUCCAGCUCUCCAAAAAUGCCUAUCCACUUUGUUUCUACAGGCUUGUUUUGACAGAUUAGUUCUUUGUCAAUCAAGCCCUUUGCAUCUAUAAAUUCAUCAUAUAGGCUAUUCAUGGUUUAAAUGCUCAAAAAAAAAAAAGUCUAAAACACAUUGGAUGCCAUCCUAAGCUGAACUUUUCUUUCUCACGGAAAAUGGUUUUGAGGCAUAUAGGUAAUUUGCACUUGUGAAAUUGAAACUGGAGUCCAAGAAAAACUCGGUUCUUGCGACACGACGAGGAAAGAUUAGGCACGGAGACACUUUGAAGGGUGAGAAGUUACGGAAUGUAUUGGGUGAAAAGGAAAAAGAUUCUCAACAAAGUGAGAGGGGCUCCUGAGUGAGAGGGGCUCCUGUUAACAGGCCCCCACGUCACAGACUAACUUGCCGGUUACCGCACAGGAACGGGAGGGGCCGACUCCUCCCCAUGCAAACAGCGGCAGCUUCCCGAGGCCCCACCGCUUCCUCCCAGCGCGUAGGCCAAUGGGAGAUUUCUCCAGGUGUGUAUUUGUUCAUUCGCGCACUGCUAUAAAGAAAUACCUGAGACUGGGUAAUUUAUAAAGAAAAGAAGUUAAUUGACUCAGUUCUGCAGGCAAUACAGGAAGCAAGAUGCUGUCAUCCGCUUGGCUUCAGUGGGGCCCUCAUCUUGUACGUGCAUCAGGCCCAAAAACUUAAUUUCACCUCUGACUGUGAUCAACAUAUUGAUGAAGACUGGCUAUGUGGAUGCUGGAAGAUGGGGAAAACUUGUUUCAAGCUGAACAUUAUCCUUGCCAUUAGCUUGCCUAAAGAGGCUGGAUUCAUCUGGGCAGUUUUCACUGCUGCAAGUUAGGCACCUUAUUUCGCAAGGUGCAAGUAGCGUGGAAGAGAAAAGCAAAGUUCAUAGACAGAACUUCCAAGAACAAAGAUCUCUGAAUUGGGAUGAAAUUCUAACUGCCAGAUUUGCUCCCUGUGUCUCUCUUGAUAUGUUUUCUACUUAUUAUGGAGUGACAGUUGUUGUGGAUGGGAGGAUUGAAAAUGGGAAGAACUAAUCAAAGAUAUAAUGUUGUGGAAAGGACUGAUAAGCUACACAAACCUGUGUCAUAUUAUUCUUUUUCUUGGAGCUCAGCAUGAGAGCAGGCAAUAACAGGAGAAUAACUUCAAAAAAAUCUUUAAAACCAGACUCAUUGUCUUCAUUCCUAGGACUUACAGAGACCAAAGCUCCUGAAGUACCAUCAUUCUACCAUGGAUACUGUGAAGUGGUACCACCGUAAAUCUAUGUCCUCUAACGUCAGUGGACUGUCAAGACUGUCCUGGUUUUAAAACUAAAAGUCCUGCACCCAGCAAUCCCCUCAGUCCCAAUCAAACUGAAACGAAACUUGAUGAAUGACUUACCAUCAGAAGAAACAGUAGUUUCCAUGGCCCUUUCCGUCUAGAUGGUUUGUACCACCCUUUAUCAAUGAACAAAGGUGUGUAGCUGUGACCACAGAACAAAGAGAAACGUAAGCCCUUCCCCCUUUUGUCUCUCAGGUGACUAAAUUGUAGAUUUAGCUGCUUAGCAACGAGGAUCUUUAUCUUCUUAGAGAAAUAAUAAUAGGCUCUCAAGAAUAUCUCGCUCUUAUCUGACCAUUUCUAUACUUAUUUCCAAAUUCCAUAUGAUUGGAAUUGGGUUGUCUCCUCACCUCCAGUCUAUGUCCCCUGACAGCAUAGGUUUGUAAUUUUGCUGGUGCCAUUGCAUUGGUCUAGACUGUCUAAUCACUUUUCCCACUGAACUGAAUUAUAGUAACUUUCUAGGGCAAGAUCAAAUUCCACUUCCAUUAUCAAAUCUUUCCUAAAUAAUCCAGAAAACAUAAACAUCCUAUAACUCUCUUAUAACUAUAACAUGCAACACAUUUUUGUGUGACAAAAUUUAUGUCCUUGCUAUUUUCUGUUUUAUAUGUGAGCUUUAGAUGCUGGAGAGGAUGUAGAGAAAUAGGAACACUUUUACACUGUUGGUGGGAGUGUAAAUUAGUUCAAUCAUUGUGGAAGACAGUGUGGUAACUCCUCAAGGACCUAGAAGCAGAAAUACCAUCUGACCCAGCAAUCCAACUACUGGGUAUAUACCCAAAGGAUUAUAAAUAA
rnacentral:lncRNA from 1 species